rnacentral:lncRNA from 1 species
AUGCAGUUUAAUUUAAAACUUAAAACCUUCCUACCUGAUUCAAAGAUCCUCUCUCUUCUAGGUCCAGCUCCUCCAGUGGGCUGGAGUGGAGCAGAGAAAGAGGGAAAGGGCAAACGUCUGUGUCCUCUCCUCAGUGAUUACUGCUUCUCAGUUAGCAGGUCUGCACUCCCCCCCCUUGUGGGCGGUUUCUACUCAGGCAGCCAAUUCCUGGUUUGGAUCCCCCUGAGGACUCCAUGGACAGUGCUGGCAGCUCACGGACCUCCUCCUACCCACCGAACAAUGCCAAAGUGUUCUCAUGUUCAGUGGAAAAAGUGGGACCGGGCCAAGAAGACAGCUGAUUGCAAAUUCAUUUUCCAUGCAUGGAAUAAAUGGAAAAUGUCAAUGGAUCGUACAUCGUCCUUGGAAUUGAAGUCACAAAUGCGGCUACAGAAGCCCACGUGGUAUUGAAUAAACAAAUUCGUGGCUGGAAACAUGGUCCUCAGUCAUUACUUUUUCAAUUUCACAGAUGAGGUGGUGUGGGAGUCAUUCUUCAGGUUUCUGAAACUGGAGAAAAGCCUCCUCUCCUCACCUCCUACAUGGCCUCCU